GUGCAGAAACUCAGCAGCCUUGCCUCAUCUUCCAGUUUCUCCAGAGAAGUCAGAAAUGUCUAUUUCUAUGCAAAUGUGUCUGUUUUCAAAUACUGACGUUCACAUUUUAAAAUCAUUUUUAAUUCACAUAUUUUCAGGAACUCUGGGCAGGCCAAACAAAAUACCUGAAGGCAGGAUCUAACCUUUGGGCCACCCUGCUUAUCUGCGGGAUCGGAGGAGAAGGGGAAGUCAGUUCGUGGGUACAACAGAGUGGAGAAGCGGGCCCACGUACCUGGUGGAUCUCGUGCCAGCCGUUCUCAUCUUUGCAGCACACAGUGGCGUGUUCGUGCAGGAGAAGCUCGCAGCAGUAGGGAUCACCUCCGACGAUGGCUGUGUGAUACAGCGGGUUCUGAAAUAGCAAACAGUGCCCAGAAAUGCAGGGCAGGCUGACAUUUGGGAGACGAGGAGACCUGCAGCACUCAGACCCUUCCUCGGCCUGGUCAACAUUUUGUGCCAGUGGUGUGGCAUGGGCAGCAAUACAGUGACUGCAACAUUUGCGGAAGAGAGAAAAGGUGCAUGGUUUAACCUACAUGCCCAGUGGAAAACCACCUCAUUCCGCACGCUGAGGGUGGCGAACCUAGCAAGCAUCGCGUCUUCAAGAAUGCUCCUGAUUUCCGAGGAAGCCAACGGGAACUGCCUGCUCCCGCUUCACCUUCCACCAUGAUUGGAAACUUCCUGAGGCCUCCCUGGAAGCAGAAACUGCUCUGCUUCCUGUACAGCCUGCAGAAUCAUGAGCCAAUGAAACCUCUUCUUAUAAAUUACUCCGAUCUCACAUUUCUUUAUUGCAACGCAGGAACAGACUCACACACCAACAGAAGGGGUGCAGCUGAAAUGAAGUGAAAGUCCUGAGACUUUAGGGACAGCGAGGCCCCCGUCUUGGGGGUCAACCUGCAGCGGCACGUCCCAUCCCUGCUGGUGUGGGCUCUGGUGGAGGAUGCCUGGGCGUGCACCACCCUGUCCAGAGGCGCCGUGGCUGCAGUGUGAGGCAGGGGCACGGAGCAGUAAGAC
rnacentral:lncRNA from 1 species